AAACCAGCACCUCAAGUGGUCAGGAUGAUUAUUGGGCCUAAAGCAUCCGUAGCCUGUUUUGUCAGUUUUCGGUUAAAUCCAUACGCUCAACGUAUGGGCUGCCGGAAAUACUGCAAAACUAGGGAGUGGGAGAGGUAGACGGUACUCGGGAGGAAGGGGUAAAAUCCUUUGAUCUCUCGAUGACCACCUGUGGCGAAGGCGGUCUACCAGAACACGUCCGACGGUGAGGGAUGAAAGCUGGGGGAGCAAACCGGAUUAGAAACCCCGGUAGUCC
rnacentral:rRNA from 1 species